GGCUCCUUGGCCAAGUUGGCAAGGCGCUUCCCUAGUAAGGAAGAGAUCACGAGUUCGAGUCUCGUAGGAGCCU